rnacentral:rRNA from 1 species
CUACGGGAUGCAGCAGUGGGGAAUAUUGCGCAAUGGACGAAAGUCUGACGCAGCGACGCCGCGUGAGGGACGAAGGUCUUCGGAUUGUAAACCUCUUUCAGUAGGGACGAAGCGAAAGUGACGGUACCUAAAGAAGAAGCACCGGCUAACUAUGUGCCAGCAGCCGCGGUAAUACAUAGGGUGCAAGCGUUGUCCGGAUUUAUUGGGCGUAAAGAGUUCGUAGGCGGUUUAUCGCGUCGGGUGUGAAAACUCAGGGCUUAACCCUGAGCCUGCACUCGAUACGGGUUUACUUGAGGACGGCAGGGGAGACUGGAACUCCUGGUGUAGCGGUGGAAUGCGCAGAUAUCAGGAAGAACACCAAUGGCGAAGGCAGGUCUCUGGGCCGAUUCUGACGCUGAGGAACGAAAGCGUGGGGAGCAAACAGGAUUAGAUACCCGCGUAGUC